UCACAUGUGGUGCCGGGGUAACUAAAACUCUGAGUUCUAUUUGCAUCAGAGUUUUGUUACCUUGGCUCCGUAUGGG
rnacentral:pre_miRNA from 1 species